GUAGGGAAUCUUCCACAAUGGACGCAAGUCUGAUGGAGCAACGCCGCGUGAGUGAAGAAGGCUUUCGGGUCGUAAAACUCUGUUGUUGGAGAAGAAUGGUCGGCAGAGUAACUGUUGCCGGCGUGACGGUAUCCAAACCAGAAAGCCACGGCUAACUACGUGCCAGCAGCCGCGGUAAUACGUAGGUGGCAAGCGUUAUCCGGAUUUAUUGGGCGUAAAGCGAGCGCAGGCGGUUUUUAAGUCUGAUGUGAAAGCCCUCGGCUUAACCGAGGAAGCGCAUCGGAAACUGGGAAACUUGAGUGCAGAAGAGGACAGUGGAACUCCAUGUGUAGCGGUGAAAUGCGUAGAUAUAUGGAAGAACACCAGUGGCGAAGGCGGCUGUCUGGUCUGUAACUGACGCUGAGGCUCGAAAGCAUGGGUAGCGAACAGGAUUAGAUACCCUGGUAGUCCAUGCCGUAAACGAUGAAUGCUAGGUGUUGGAGGGUUUCCGCCCUUCAGUGCCGCAGCUAACGCAUUAAGCAUUCCGCCUGGGGAGUACGACCGCAAGGUUGAAAC
rnacentral:rRNA from 1 species